rnacentral:rRNA from 1 species
UACAGAGGGCUCAAGCGUUGUUCGGAUUCAUUGGGCGUAAAGGGUGCGUAGGCGGCGAGGUAAGUCAGAUGUGAAAUCCCGGAGCUUAACUCCGGAACUGCAUUUGAUACUGCUUUGCUUGAGGACUGGAGAGGAGAUCGGAAUUCACGGUGUAGCAGUGAAACGCGUAGAUAUCGUGAGGAAGGCCAGUGGCGAAGGCGGAUCUCUGGACAGUUCCUGACGCUGAGGCACGAAGGCCAGGGGAGCAAACGGG